rnacentral:rRNA from 1 species
AGUGAACGCUGGCGGUAGGCCUAACACAUGCAAGUCGAACGGCAGCACAGUAAGAGCUUGCUCUUACGGGUGGCGAGUGGCGGACGGGUGAGGAAUACAUCGGAAUCUACUUUUUCGUGGGGGAUAACGUAGGGAAACUUACGCUAAUACCGCAUACGACCUACGGGUGAAAGCAGGGGAUCUUCAGACCUUGCGCGAUUGAAUGAGCCGAUGUCGGAUUAGCUAGUUGGCGGGGUAAAGGCCCACCAAGGCGACGAUCCGUAGCUGGCCUGAGAGGAUGAUCAGCCACACUGGAACUGAGACACGGUCCAGACUCCUACGGGAGGCAGCAGUGGGGAAUAUUGGACAAUGGGCGCAAGCCUGAUCCAGCCAUACCGCGUGGGUGAAGAAGGCCUUCGGGUUGUAAAGCCCUUUUGUUGGGAAAGAAAAGCAGCAGGUUAAUACCCCGCUGUUCUGACGGUACCCAAAGAAUAAGCACCGGCUAACUUCGUG